CAAUCUCUUAUGGCAUAAUUGUUGCAAAAGUGACCGCUUUCAGCUUUAAAUAAUAGUUCCUAAUCUCUCCGGUGGCGCUAGUUAGGCUCUGGGACAUGAGUAUAACAUGAACCAUAUAAGGCAACAAAUAACCCGACCAAAUUACGUAGGUUGUUUUUGGUAGUAUUUCGGUGUAUGGUGGCGCCGCCUAAUUACUGUUUUUUGAUGGACACUUUUCAUACAUAGAGAUUUGGCUCCUUUAUAUAGUCUCCAUGCUUCGUAUUUUUCAUACAAAAUAAAUAUUAUCUUCAAUGUACGCCAUUAUCAUUGUGAUUGACGUUGCCUGUCACACCUUAAACAUAAUAAAAUUCGCAAUAUAUUGCGUCUUGGAAAAUACUUUAAAGUGUAUUAAAAAUCAAAACACAAGUUAUUUUUAAGUCGCUGAACAAAUGUUGGUUGGUAUGAGCAAAGAUAGAUAUAACUCCGUAAUAGAUGGAUACAGUCUAAGGAAAAAACGUGCCUCGAAAAUCAAGAAAAUUUGAUUCUCGUUCAGAGGGCGCUACUAGCUUUGGCCUACUGUCGUAUAAAUGGCGUUGACGGUUUCGUUUGUUAUUUAACAAUUUUAACGCAUAUCAGUGAAAGAACAUGGGUCAAAAUCAUAAAAAAUAAUUAAUGCAAAUAAAAAAAAUCAUUUAUCCAUAUUUAAAUACAUUUUAUCGUAUUUUUAUAAAUCUUCAUUUUUAGUUUUAAAGUGUGUCGACAGAUGGCAGUGAAUUUACUGGGGUUACAAAAUUUACUAUGACAGUACCGCUCUAGUAUAAGUUACUCUAUGGUAUGAGUACAGCCUACAGUUUAAAUUUUUUGCUCUUAUUACAGGCCACACAUUGUAUAUAUUAAAUAUGAAUCGUAAUACUAAAACUUUUAUGCAUUUUAUUGCUAUGCUAUGAUUGGCAAAGUAACCUUACCAUUAAUUAAUAGUUAUUUGCACAAAUCGCUUUAUCAGUUACCAUAUUUUGAUCUACGCUAAUAUUGCUAUAGUUAUUUUCGAUACAAGUGCGGAAAAGAGGAAAUUCGGAACGAGUGGCGAAUUACCUAUUCGCACGUGUAUCGAACAACGUUUUACAGUACAUAUGGCCCUUUAAACUUUCGACGUGUGCACGAAAAGUGCUCUUUACGCACUAGUGCGAGAAUGUAACACCAUGUGUACUGUAAAUACAUUAGGUAAAUAAACAUCAAGUUAAUGUAAUUAACUCAUUGAUUACAGUGAUAUUAUGUACUAAAUGUACUCGUAUUUAGGCAUGUAUUGAUAUUUUUAUUAGUGCUGAUUGUUGAUGAAUUUUCGAUAAUUAUUUUGCUAUUGUGCGUGACCUUCCACAUGUGGGUUUAGAAUGACUUGUUUUGCAUACAGGGUUAGUUUAGUGAUGAGACAUGUUGUUUUGAUCAUAAAUGUAUGAAGUUAUUCUUUAAAAUUAGUUCGUUUGUUACAAUGAAGUGAUAUCGCACAUGCUGUGCGAGCUCAACACGGUCGAGUCAUUCGGUGUCAUGUCUACACUAUUAGUCAUUUAUUUUAUAGCGACGAAAUGUAGCGUAGCAAAUAUUACACUGUAUUUAUUGUUAUCUAUAGACAAGUGUGAUUUGCUUUAUUACCGAUAAACAAUUUGAAUGUUAUGAGGUAAAUUGUAUUUAAAAGUCUGUUAUACAUAAAAAUAGAAUAAUUUCAAGGUC